GAGGAAAUUCAGCAACUCAGGAUAGUUUUUUCUUUGUUCAAGACUCAACUAGCACUCGCUGACCUGACAUACUCACAUACACGUGUGUGUGUGUGUGUGUGUCUGCAAAUCUCUCAAACACAGGAGAAACGUUCCAUUGUGAGUUGUGCGACUGGAUGACCACUGGAUGGAUAGAAUAGCGGCAACAUUGAGAAGAGACUGACGCACCAUGGCACGCUGUCCAAGACACAAAAGCCCACUGGAGCCUGCACUGAGGAAUUAUCUGCUGUCAGGACCCGCGCCUGCACCAGGGCGAUAGGGAGAGACGGAGCCAAGGAGCCAGGCUCAGGCCACAGCAAGGUGAGGGUGCCGCCGUGCCGGAGAGG
rnacentral:lncRNA from 1 species